rnacentral:rRNA from 1 species
GAGUUUGAUCCUGGCUCAGGAUGAACGCUGGCGGCGUGCCUAAUACAUGCAAGUCGAACGGUAUAGCAAUAUACAGUGGCGACCGGGUGAGUAACACGUAGCAGACCUGCCUUUCCGCGGGGGAUAACAGUCCGAAAGGAUUGCUAAUACCGCAUAAUUUCUGGGGAACUAGAUACCCUUGAAUAAACUUCCGGGGCGGAAAGAGGGUGCUGCGGCCCAUCAGGUAGUUGGUGAGGUAACGGCUCACCAAGCCGACGACGGGUAGGGGGCCUGAGAGGGUGACCCCCCACACUGGAACAGACAUACGGUCCAGACUCCUACGGGAGGCAGCAGUAAGGGAUAUUGGGCAAUGGACGAAAGUCUGACCCAGCAACGCCGCGUGGAGGACGAAGGUUUUCGGACUGUAAACUCCUUUUGUCGGGGACGAGAUAGGACGGUACCCGACGAAUCAGUCACGGCUAACUACGUGCCAGCAGCCGCGGUAAAACGUAGGUGGCGAGCGUUAUCCGGAUUUACUGGGCGUAAAGGGUGUGCAGGCGGGCUGUUAAGUGGUGCAUGAAAUCUCCGCGCUUAACGUGGAGAGGCUGUGCCAGACUGGCAGUCUAGAGUACGAGAGAGGGUUGUGGAAUUCCGGGUGUAGUGGUGAAAUGCGUAGAGAUCCGGAGGACACCAGAGGCGAAGGCGGCAACCUGGCUCGUAACUGACGCUCAUACACGACAGCAUGGGGAGCGAACGGGAUUAGAAACCCCGGUAGUCCAUGCCGUAAACGAUGCAAGCUGGGUGUCGCGGGGUGCAAACCCUGCGGUAUCGUAGUUAACACGAUAAGCUUGCCGCCUGGGGAGUACGGUCGCAAGGCUAAAACUCAAAGGAAUUGACGGGGGCCCGCACAAGCAGCGGAGCGUGUGGUUUAAUUCGAGGCUACACGAAGAACCUUACCUGGACUGGACAUAACGGUAGUAGAACCUGGAAACAGGGACGACCUUCGGGAGCCGUUACUGGUGCUGCAUGGCUGUCGUCAGCUCGUGCCGUGAGGUGUUAGGUUAAGUCCUGUAACGAGCGCAACCCCCGGUGCCAGUUAAAUCGUCUGGCGCGACUGCCCGUGACAAACGGGAGGAAGGCGGGGAUGACGUCAAGUCAGCAUGGCCUGUAUGUCCAGGGCUACACACACGCUACAAUGGUCGGUACAAUGGGUCGCCAAGUCGCAAGACGGAGCUAAUCCACCAAAGCCGGCCUCAGUUCAGAUUGUGGGCUGCAACCCGCCCACAUGAAGUCGGAGUUGCUAGUAACCGCGCGUCAGCCAUAGUGCGGUGAAUACGUUCCCGGGCCUUGUACACACCGCCCGUCACGUCAUGGGAGCUGCUCACGCCUGAAGUCGGGAUGCGAACCGCAAGGACGCUACCGCCCAAGGCAGGGGUGGUGACUGGGACGAAGUCGUAACAAGGUAACC